rnacentral:rRNA from 1 species
UUGACCUCGGAUCAGGUAGGACUACUC